rnacentral:rRNA from 1 species
UACGUAGGGUGCAAGCGUUUGUCCGGAAUUAUUGGGCGUAAAGAGCUCGUAGGCGGUUUGUCGCGUCUGCUGUGAAAACUGGGGGGCUCAACCCCCCAGCCUGCAGUGGGUACGGGCAGACUAGAGUGCGGUAGGGGAGAUUGGAAUUCCUGGUGUAGCGGUGGAAUGCGCAGAUAUCAGGAGGAACACCAAUGGCGAAGGCAGAUCUCUGGGCCGUAACUGACGCUGAGGAGCGAAAGCAUGGGGGAGCGAACAGG